rnacentral:rRNA from 1 species
GAUGAACGCUGGCGGCGUGCUUAACACAUGCAUGUCGAACGAACCUUCGGGUUAGUGGCGGACGGGUGAGUAACGCGUGGGAAUCUGCCCUCAGGAGGGGGAUAACGGUUGGAAACGACCGCUAAUACCCCAUAUGCCGAGAGGUGAAAUGAAUUUCGCCUGAGGAUGAGCCCGCGUCUGAUUAGCUUGUUGGUGAGGUAAUGGCUCACCAAGGCAUCGAUCAGUAGCUGGUCUGAGAGGAUGAUCAGCCACACUGGGACUGAGACACGGCCCAGACUCCUACGGGAGGCAGCAGUGGGGAAUUUUCCGCAAUGGACGAAAGUCUGACGGAGCAACGCCGCGUGAGGGACGAAGGCCUCUGGGCUGUAAACCUCUUUUCUCAAGGAAGAAGAUAUGACGGUACUUGAGGAAUAAGCCACGGCUAAUUCCGUGCCAGCAGCCGCGGUAAUACGGGAGUGGCAAGCGUUAUCCGGAAUUAUUGGGCGUAAAGCGUCCGCAGGCGGCCUUUCAAGUCUGCUGUUAAAGCGUGGAGCUUAACUCCAUCAUGGCAGUGGAAACUGAUUGGCUUGAGUAUGGUAGGGGUAGAGGGAAUUCCCGGUGUAGCGGUGAAAUGCGUAGGUAUCGGGAAGAACACCAGUGGCGAAGGCGCUCUGCUGGGCCAUUACUGACGCUCAUGGACGAAAGCCAGGGGAGCGAAAGGGAUUAGAUACCCCUGUAGUCCUGGCCGUAAACGAUGAACACUAGGUGUCGGGGGAAUCGACCCCUUCGGUGUCGUAGCUAACGCGUUAAGUGUUCCGCCUGGGGAGUACGCACGCAAGUGUGAAACUCAAAGGAAUUGACGGGGGCCCGCACAAGCGGUGGAGUAUGUGGUUUAAUUCGAUGCAACGCGAAGAACCUUACCAGGGCUUGACAUCCUGCGAACCUUUAAGAAAUUAGAGGGUGCCUUCGGGAACGCAGUGACAGGUGGUGCAUGGCUGUCGUCAGCUCGUGUCGUGAGAUGUUGGGUUAAGUCCCGCAACGAGCGCAACCCACGUUUUUAGUUGCCAGCAUUUAGUUGGGCACUCUAGAAAGACCGCCGGUGAUAAACCGGAGGAAGGUGUGGAUGACGUCAAGUCAUCAUGCCCCUUACGUCCUGGGCUACACACGUACUACAAUGCUACGGACAAAGGGCAGCAAACUCGCGAGAGCUAGCAAAUCCCAUAAACCGUGGCUCAGUUCAGAUCGUAGGCUGCAACUCGCCUACGUGAAGUAGGAAUCGCUAGUAAUCGCAGGUCAGCAUACUGCGGUGAAUACGUUCCCGGGCCUUGUACACACCGCCCGUC